UACGGGGGGGGCAAGCGUUGUUCGGAAUUACUGGGCGUAAAGGGCUCGUAGGUGGCCAACUAAGUCAUGCGUGAAAGCCCCGGGCUCAACCUGGGAACUGCGGUUGAAACUGGCGAACUAGAAUCUGGCAGAGGGGGGUGGAAUUCCACGUGUAGCAGUGAAAUGCGUAGAGAUGUGGAGGAACACCGAUGGCGAAGGCAGCCCCCUGGGCUGAGAUUGACGCUCAGGCACGAAAGCGUGGGGAGCAAACAGG
rnacentral:rRNA from 1 species